UACGAAGGGGGCUAGCGUUGUUCGGAUUUACUGGGCGUAAAGCGCACGUAGGCGGAUCGUUAAGUCGGGGGUGAAAUCCUGGAGCUCAACUCCAGAACUGCCUUCGAUACUGGCGAUCUCGAGUCCGGAAGAGGUGAGUGGAACUCCUAGUGUAGAGGUGGAAUUCGUAGAUAUUAGGAAGAACACCAGUGGCGAAGGCGGCUCACUGGACUGGUAUUGACGCUGAGGUGCGAAAGCGUGGGGAGCAAACAGG
rnacentral:rRNA from 1 species